rnacentral:rRNA from 1 species
ACAUGCCUACAUCAUAGCAUUAAUGCAUAGAUUCCUAUUAGAACUUUGCAGUUAAGAACAAUCAGGUUAGAGUAGUAUUGGGAUGGGUAACUGCUCGAGAAGUAUUAGUGUUUUACAUGCC